rnacentral:rRNA from 1 species
AACGAACGCUGGCGGCAGGCCUAACACAUGCAAGUCGAACGCUUUCUUCGGGGGGAGUGGCAGACGGGUGAGGAACACGUGGGAACCUACACCUUUGUACGGAAUACCUGAUGGAAACGUUAGCCAAUAACGAAUGGGCGCUGAGGCGGAAAGAUUUAUCGCAAAGGGAUGGCCCCGAGUAGGAUUAGCUAGGUGGUGGGGUAAAGGCCUACCAAGGCGACGAUCCUUAGCUGGUCUGAGAGGAUGAUCAGCCACACUGGGACUGGGACAAGGACCGGACUCCUACGGGAGGCAGCAGCGGGGGAUAGUGGAAAGUGGGCGGAAGCCUGAUCCAGCCAGGACGCGUGAGUGAUGAAGGCCUUAGGGUUGUAAAGCUCUUUCACCUGGGAAGACAAUGACGGUACCAGGAGAAGAAGCCCCGGCUAACUUCGUGCCAGCCGCCGCGGUAACAC